rnacentral:miRNA from 1 species
AUCCCAUCUUCUAGCUUGACACACUAAAACAUAAUAUAUAUAUAAGAGACCUUCAUAUAUGUAUAUAUAUAUCAUGUUUUAGUGUGUCAAGCUAGAAGAUGGGAU